GUGGGGAAUAUUGGACAAUGGGCGCAAGCCUGAUCCAGCCAUGCCGCGUGAGUGAUGAAGGCCUUAGGGUUGUAAAGCUCUUUCGUCAGGGAAGAUAAUGACGGUACCUGAAGAAGAAGCCCCGGCUAACUUCGUGCCAGCAGCCGCGGUAAUACGAAGGGGGCUAGCGUUGCUCGGAAUCACUGGGCGUACAGCGCACGUAGGCGGCUUUCUAAGUCAGGGGUGAAAUCCUGGAGCUCAACUCCAGAACUGCCUUUGAUACUGGAGAGCUUGAGUUCGGGAGAGGUGAGUGGAACUGCGAGUGUAGAGGUGAAAUUCGUAGAUAUUCGCAAGAACACCAGUGGCGAAGGCGGCUCACUGGCCCGAUACUGACGCUGAGGUGCGAAAGCGUGGGGAGCAAACAGGAUUAGAAACCCCAGUAGUCC
rnacentral:rRNA from 1 species